CAGAGUUGCAAAACUCCCACAAACCAUCGCGAAUCUUACCCGUACGGUUGCCUCGGCGCUGGCGGUCCGGAAGGCCCUCGGGCCCCCCGGAUCCUCGGGUCUCCCGCUCGCGGGAGGCUGCCCGCCGGAGUGCCGAAACCAAACUCUUGAUAUUUUAUGUCUCCUCUUGAGUAAACUUUUAAAUAAGUCA
rnacentral:misc_RNA from 1 species